rnacentral:rRNA from 1 species
ACGCUAGCGGCAGGCCUAACACAUGCAAGUCGAGGGAGGAGCUUUCGGGCUUCGACCGGCGAACGGGUGCGUAACGCGUAUACAAUCUGCCUUUCACAUAGGGAUAGCCCGAAGAAAUUUGGAUUAAUACCUAAUGGCAUAUAGGGGUGGCAUCACCUUUAUAUUAAAGCUGAGGCGGUGAAAGAUGAGUAUGCGUUCUAUUAGCUAGUUGGAGAGGUAACGGCUCCCCAAGGCUACGAUAGAUAGGGGUUCUGAGAGGGAUAUCCCCCACACUGGUACUGAGAUACGGACCAGACUCCUACGGGAGGCAGCAGUGAGGAAUAUUGGACAAUGGUCGGAAGACUGAUCCAGCCAUGCCGCGUGCAGGAAGACGGCCUUAUGGGUUGUAAACUGCUUUUGCAGGGGAAGAAUAAGGACUACGAGUAGUUUGAUGACGGUACUCUGCGAAUAAGCAUCGGCUAACUCCGUGCCAGCAGCCGCGGUAAUACGGAGGAUGCGAGCGUUAUCCGGAAUCAUUGGGUUUAAAGGGUCCGUAGGCGGGCUAAUAAGUCAGAGGUGAAAGCGCUCAGCUCAACUGAGCAACUGCCUUUGAAACUGUUAGUCUUGAAUGGUUGUGAAGUAGUUGGAAUGUGUAGUGUAGCGGUGAAAUGCUUAGAUAUUACACAGAACACCGAUAGCGAAGGCAUAUUACUAACAAUUAAUUGACGCUGAUGGACGAAAGCGUGGGGAGCGAACAGGAUUAGAUACCCUGGUAGUCCACGCUGUAAACGAUGGAUACUAGCUGUUUGGUUGUAAGACUGAGUGGCUAAGCGAAAGUGAUAAGUAUCCCACCUGGGGAGUACGCACGCAAGUGUGAAACUCAAAGGAAUUGACGGGGGCCCGCACAAGCGGUGGAGCAUGUGGUUUAAU